CCGGAUCUGUCUCUUGCUUCAACAGUGUUUGGACGGAACAGACCCAGGGACGCCCCUUCUUCCAGCCUCCGGCCACUCUCCUGCGUCUCAUCCACUCACCACCUUCAGGACCACCCCCGGGACCAGCCAACACCGGUUUUGUUUUUUUUUUCUACCUUAAACUCCUUAUUGCCGGACAACCAUGAGCUCCCAAAUUCGUCAGAAUUAUUCCACCGAGGUGGAGGCUGCGGUCAACCGCCUGGCCAACCUGCAUCUGCGGACCUCCUACACCUACCUCUCUCUGGGCUACUAUUUCGACCGCGACGAUGUGGCUCUGGAGGGCGUGGGCCACUUCUUCCGCGAGCUGGCGGAGAAGAAGCGCGAGGGCGCGGAGCAUCUCCUGAAGUUGCAGAACAAGCGUGGCGGCCGCAUUCUCUUCCAGGACGUGCAGAAACCUUCCCAGGAUGAGUGGGGCAAAACUCAGGACGCCAUGGAAGCCGCCCUGGCCUUGGAGAAGAACCUGAACCAGGCCCUUUUGGAUCUGCAUGCCCUGGGUUCGACCCGUGUCGACCCUCAUCUCUGCGACUUCCUGGAGAACCACUUCCUGGAUGAGGAGGUGAAACUCAUCAAGAAGAUGGGCGACCACCUGACUAACAUCCGCAGGCUGGCCGGCCCCCAGGCUGGGCUGGGCGAGUAUCUCUUCGAGAGGCUCACCCUCAAGCACGACUAG